rnacentral:piRNA from 1 species
UCAUUGACAACUGAGUCCUCACCACAGC